GCAUUGGUGGGUUCAGUGGUAGAAUCCUCGCCUGCCACGCGGGGGGCCCGGGUUCGAUUCCCGGCCAAUGCA
rfam:Ciona savignyi cont_59294, whole genome shotgun sequence.